UGAGCAAUCUGCCCUUCUCAUCGGAAUAAGCGUUGGAAACGACGUCUAAUGCCGAAUACGACCUCCUUUCGCAUGAUCGGAGGUGGAAAGCUCCGGCGGAGAAGGAUGAGCUCGCGGCCUAUCAGCUAGUUGGUGUGGGUAACGCCCACCAAGGCGACGACGGGUAGUCGGCCUGAGAGGGUGACCGGCCACACUGGGACUGAGACACGGCCCAGACCUCCGUACGGGAGGNAGUAGG
rnacentral:rRNA from 1 species